rnacentral:lncRNA from 1 species
CUAGUCUUGUCUGCACCUCUGCGAAGAGGCCAGAUUCCUGUCUCCGCAGCUCGGGCUCUGCUCCGGUAGAUUGUGUGCAUGACCGUCUUCCGAGUGGGAGGAUUUGUUACCGGCAGUCUUUUCGUCCUUCUUUGGACUUUGCUAGAAAGUUGGGAAUUUUUGUGACUUGACAUUGUCUAAGACAAAGCCUGAGGAUUGGGGUUGAGCCGAUGAUAAGCUAAGGUUAGCUGUCACCGAGGCAGCUAUGUGCCAGAUGUGCACAUGUAUGGAGAUGGAUGAAUAGGUGAUGCUGAUUUUGUUUGUUUGGGUAGGAAGAGCAUUUUGAUUUGGGAAGGAGAACGGGAUGAAUUAGAAGUGGGGGAGGGGAGUAGUCCUGAUGUGUAUUUAAUAACAUUACCUCUUCUUUCAAGAGGUUUUAAAGACAUCUGCGAGACACUUGCAAUCUGCAAAAUAAAUAAAUAAAUAAAUAAAUAAGUAAGUAAAAUAAGUGCAGUUUAAUUUUUGGUAAACACUUUGGAGUAUGCAGUUUUAAUAUAGCAGCAGAUGUUUUACUAUUACUCUUAACUCAUCCCUGAUAUUGCUGUAUAAAACCUAACUUUAUCACAGAAUAAAAUUUAAUUCAAAUUUAGUCCUCAAUCACUGGGGUUUAACCAUUAAGGGUUAUUUCUUUCUUUCUUUCUUUUCUUCUUUCUUUCUCCCUUUCUUUCUUCCUUUCUUCAGUGAUACGGACAGGAUAGUUUAUGAUUAAAUUGCAUAUUUGGGGCUGUAGAAACUUAUAUUUGCUACUGUUUGGUGGUGUCAUUGCUACCGUUCAGAAGAACUGAAGAACUAAUGCUAUGUCAUAAUUAAGAGG